rnacentral:rRNA from 1 species
GUAGGGGGCGUGAGAGCGCGGACCCCCACACUGGCACUGAGAUACGGGCCAGACUCCUACGGGAGGCAGCAGUAAGGGAUAUUGCGCAAUGGACGAAAGUCAGACGCAGCGACGCCGCGUGGGCGAUGAAGGCCUUCGGGUUGUAAAGCCCUUUUAUGGGGGAAGAGAAAAAGGACGGUACCCCAGGAAUAAGUCCCGGCUAACUACGUGCCAGCAGCCGCGGUAAAACGUAGGGGACAAGCGUUAUCCGGAUUCACUGGGCGUAAAGAGCGUUGAGGCGGUUCCGUAAGUUGGGCGUGAAAGCUCCGGGCUUAACUCGGAGAUGUCGUUCAAUACUGCGGGGCUUGAGGACAGCAGAGGAAGGUGGAAUUCCCGGUGUAGUGGUGAAAUGCGUAGAUAUCGGGAGGAACACCCGUGGCGAAGGCGGCCUUCUGGGCUGUUCCUGACGCUGAAGGCGAAAGCUAGGGGAGCGAACGGGAUUAGAUACCCCGGUAGUCCUAGCUGUAAACGAUGGAUGCUGGGUGUGGGGGGUGUAAAUUCCCUCUGUGCCGAAGCAAACGCGUUAAGCAUCCCGCCUGGGGACUACGGCCGCAAGGCUAAAACUCAAACGAAUUGACGGGGGCCCGCACAAGCAGCGGAGCGUGUGGUUUAAUUCGAUGCUACACGAAGAACCUUACCUGGGUUUGACAUGCACGUGGUAGGGAACCGAAAGGGGACCGACCUUCGGGAGCGUGCACAGGUGCUGCAUGGCUGUCGUCAGCUCGUGCCGUGAGGUGUCGGGUUAAGUCCCGUAACGAGCGCAACCCUUGCCCUUAGUUACAAGUGUCUAAGGGGACUGCCCGGGACAACUGGGAGGAAGGUGGGGAUGACGUCAAGUCAGCAUGGCCUUUAUAUCCAGGGCUACACACACGCUACAAUGGCCGGUACAAUAGGUUGCGAAGUCGUGAGGCGGAGCCAAUCCUCAAAGCCGGUCUCAGUUCGAAUUGCAGUCUGCAACUCGACUGCAUGAAGCUGGAGUUGCUAGUAAUCGCAGGUCAGCUAUACUGCGGUGAAUACGUUCCCGGGCCUUGUACACACCGCCCGUCACGUCAUGGAAGCUGGCAACGCCUGAAGCCGGUGAGAAAACCCGAAAGGGAGGCAGCCGUC